GCUUCGAAAGAGCUCGCCGUCUCGCAGGCAGCGCAGCCGGCAUGGAAGCGCCGUCCUGGGGCAAAGGGUGGCACUGGCAGCGCGAGCACAACAACGCCGGCAGCUCGUUGAAGCCUCUGGAUA
rnacentral:ribozyme from 11 species